rnacentral:misc_RNA from 1 species
CUGGCGAUUGAUACAGAAUGUAUAUGGAAUGGGAGCAAAAAAGAUUGAGUGACAAGCUUACCAUCAACUGGGUGUUUGUCUGCAGCUAUCACCCUCUCUGAUGCAGGAAGCAAUCAGUGUGUUAAAGAGGUUAAACCGUGAUGCCAUUUCCUUCAAUGAGAAACCAUACAGCACUUCCAAAAGCUUGGUGAACAAUUUUCCAGGUCUCAAACUUGAGGUCUUUGAUAUAUAUCAGCCUCUGUUGGAU